rnacentral:misc_RNA from 1 species
GGUGCUCGAUGGUGAACUUCGUUCUGUUAUGCAGUCAUACGAUCUUUUCCCUAAUCAACACGUUAUUGAUCCUCUCCAGGUACUGGAAAUUUUGCAUUACUCCUAAUUGAAGGUAGGGGACGUGGCCUUUGCAGGCGAAUAAUAUCAGUUGUGAAGGCAGCAAACAUUUUGGGUCUUUCAUUUUCAGAAGCAUUUGAGAAGCCUCCCAUUGAACUCUUACAAUUGCUUUCUCUAAAAGCGCAAGACUCUUUUGAAGAAGCAAAGCUCUUAGUUCAAUCACAUUGUAUGCCUGCAGCUAGUAUUGCUCAAAUUCUUGCGGAAUCAUUUUUGAAGGGUUUGCUAGCAGCACAUCGUGGAGGUUACAUGGAAUCUCAAAAAGAGGAGGGCCCUGCUCCUUUAUUGUGGAGAUUUUCUGAUUUCUUGAAGUGGGCUGAGCUUUGCCCCUCUGAACCAGAAAUUGGCCAUGCUUUACUGCGUUUAGUUGCCACUUGUCAAGGAAUACCACAUGCC